rnacentral:rRNA from 1 species
GUAGGUGGUUUGUCGCGUUGUUCGUGAAAUCUCACGGCUUAACUGUGAGCGUGCGGGCGAUACGGGCAGACUUGAGUACUGCAGGGGAGACUGGAAUUCCUGGUGUAGCGGUGGAAUGCGCAGAUAUCAGGAGGAACACCGGUGGCGAAGGCGGGUCUCUGGGCAGUAACUGACGCUGAGGAGCGAAAGCGUGGGGAGCGAACAGGAUUAGAUACCCUGGUAGUCCACGCCGUAAACGGUGGGUACUAGGUGUGGGUUUCCUUCCUUGGGAUCCGUGCCGUAGCUAACGCAUUAAGUACCCCGCCUGGGGAGUACGGCCGCAAGGCUAAAACUCAAAGAAAUUGACGGGGGCCCGCACAAGCGGCGGAGCAUGUGGAUUAAUUCGAUGCAACGCGAAGAACCUUACCUGGGUUUGACAUGCACAGGACGCCGGCAGAGAUGUCGGUUCCCUUGUGGCCUGUGUGCAGGUGGUGCAUGGCUGUCGUCAGCUCGUGUCGUGAGACGUUGGGUUAAGUCCCGCAACGAGCGCAACCCUUGUCUCAUGUUGCCAGCGGGUAAUGCCGGGGACUCGUGAGAGACUGCCGGGGUCAACUCGGAGGAAGGUGGGGAUGACGUCAAGUCAUCAUGCCCCUUAUGUCCAGGGCUUCACACAUGCUACAAUGGCCGGUACAAAGGGCUGCGAUGCCGCGAGGUUAAGCGAAUCCUUUUAAAGCCGGUCUCAGUUCGGAUCGGGGUCUGCAACUCGACCCCGUGAAGUCGGAGUCGCUAGUAAUCGCAGAUCAGCAACGCUGCG